UCAUGAUAAAGCAGAAGGUUUAGCCUGCAGCAUGGCAUAAAGUUCAGUACAAAAGCAUAUUGAGAGUAACAGAGCAUAUAUUUCAGUGCUAAAGAGUUUCAGAAGCAGGCAUAGUGACACUGAGGUCAAUAUUGAGUAAGCAAACCACAUACAGGACUAAACCAAAAUUGACUAUGUAGGCUAUUUUCCAUACAAAGCAACAACGGCAAAAAAGCAUGCGAGGAGAUUCAGGUAACCUUGCAUAUCGGAUACAAAAUACCUAGCAUUUAUAUCACUGAAUCAUAUAUCAGUCACAAAAAAAAAAAAUCAUUGGUAUAGUUAUUGGAUCUAUCUAAUUAAAAAAGGUAGCAAGCAACAUAUAAAUUCAUUAGAAAUACAUUGUAUUCCAUAUAGCAAUCCACUCAAAAGGAACAAGAAUGGAACAUACAAGAUUAUGUACAGCCAAGGGAAGAGUUUCAUUACCAAGAGAUCCUGCAUAACCAAUCUGUGUCAUCACAGAUGUAGCCUGCUCCAAAUCCUUUAAUACCAAGUACAAACUGUAACCUGCUCCAAAGGCUACUGCUCUAUGCUCUGUGCUCUGUUUUAUUUACUGAGUGCUCUGGAAAACAAAGAAAACAAAACACUCAUUGGCUCGGAACACAAUUUUUUUUUGAUAAAGUUUACACUUAAUAGACACCAAUUAAUUACCAAAUUUAUCAUCAUUUUUGGUGAACAUUAAUAAACAGCGGACUCAUGAUAUUGGUAUGUAAGUAAUUAUCUCCAAAAGAUCUUCACAUGCACGCAGACAGCAGUGUAGUAAUUCUC
rnacentral:lncRNA from 1 species